UGUAAGCGUAUACCAAAGUUGUUGCAGUUAAAACGCUCGUAGUCGGACUUUGGCAGUUCCGGAUGUGUGCACGUCGUGUGCGCACUUCGCGGGGAUUGCUUUUGUGGUCUUGCGUAGGAUGAGGCACUUUUAUUAGUGAACGUCCUCACGCAACCACUUUUUACUGUGAGAAAAUCAGAGUGCUCAAAGCAGGCAUUUGCCGUGAAUGUAUUAGCAUGGAAUAAUAGAAUAGGACUUGGUUCUAUUUUGUUGGUUUGUUGGGACUGAGUAAUGAUUAAGAGGGACAGUUGGGGGCAUUUGUAUUUCGGUGCUAGAGGUGAAAUUCUUAGAUUACCGAAAGACAAACCGCUGCGAAAGCGUCUGCCAAGGAUGUUUUCAUUGA
rnacentral:rRNA from 1 species